UGGCAACACCAUUUGAGACAUAUCCUAC
rnacentral:piRNA from 1 species